rnacentral:rRNA from 1 species
GACGAACGCUGGCGGCGUGCCUAAUACAUGCAAGUAGGACGCAGUUGCGAACGGGUGAGUAACGCGUCGGUAACUGCCUAUUAGAGGGGGCUAACUAUUGGAAACGAUAGCUAAUACCGAAUACUAGUAGAUGGACCUGCGUUGUAUUAGCUAGUAGGUAGGGUAAUGGCCUACCUAGGCGACGAUAAAUAAACGACCUGACAAGGUGAUGGGUCACACUGUGACUGAGAGACGGCCCAGACUCCGAAGGGAGGCAGCAGUAGGGAAACUUCGGCAAUGGGGGGAACCCUGACCGAACAACGCCGCGGGAGUGAAGAAGGUUUUCGGAUCGUAAAGCUCUGUUGUUAAGGAAGCGGUACUUAACCAUAAAGGGACGGCUAACUACGUGCCAGCAGCCGCGGUAAUAC